GUCUUUUUGAGUUAUUUUUAAAGUCUGACCUGCCCACUGAAUUUUUUAAAUGGCCGCAGUAUUCUAACUGUGCAAAGGUAGCAUAAUCAUUAGUCUUUUAAUUGAAGGCUGGUAUGAACGGUUGGACGAGGUAUAAGCUGUUUCAUGUAAAUUUGUAUUAGAAUUUUAUAUUUUAGUCAAAAAGCUAAAAUGUAGUUAAAAGACGAGAAGACCCUAUAAAUCUUUAUAUUUUAUAUAAUUUAAGUUUUUUUGAUUUAUUUUAUUUUUAUUAUAUUGAAUAUUUUGUUGGGGUGAUAUUAAAAUUUGAUGAACUUUUAAUUGUUUUAAGUCAUUAAUUUAUGAAUUAUUGAUCCGUUAUUAGUGAUUAUAAGAUUAAGUUACUUUAGGGAUAACAGCGUAAUUUUUUUGGAGAGUUCUUAUCGAUAAAAAAGUUUGCGACCUCGAUGUUGGAUUAAGAUAUAAUUUUAGGUGUAGCCGCUUAAAUGUUAAGUCUGUUCGACUUUUAAAUUCUU
rnacentral:rRNA from 1 species